ACGCUGCAGUGCUCCGAUUUGAAUAAUUUAACAUGAAUUAUGAAAUUGAAGGUAUUUACUUAAAAUUAAGAUAUUAAUAAUAAACUUUCCUGAAAAUGUUUUUUCGAAAAACUAAUUUUAUCGAAUAACCCUUUUUUGUGUAUUUUUUGAAAGUAUAGUUUAUGUUUAGUUAACCUGUUAGUUAUGUUCCAAGAAAACCCAGAGCUUGGUAUGUAUGUUUUUAUGAUCGUCUUCUUUUAGGUUGCUAAAUAUUUUAAAAUUAGCUGCAGAAACUUGCAGAUGUGUGUUUACUACUUAGAUUACUAAAGCAGUUAAAGGUGAGUCUUUGCUUAUUGUGCUGUUCCGCUUUUGCGCUGUUGCUUUGUCUUCGUCUUUAGUGCUUUGUGUUUUUGCAAAAAUGUCAAUUUGUAAAUUAUUAUUUAAACUUUGAUUUUGGAUUUUGAUAGGUGUAUCGCAAAAAUGUGUUUGUGUAAUGGAACCAACGCCGAAAAAAUUAAGAAAUUGAUUUCCGAUGUGCAAGCGGAUAUUGAAAACAACGGCUACAUUAUUCCAGAGUUGAGCGAAGUAUCCAAUAAAAUUGAGAACCUCUGCAAAACAAUUGUAACUUUUGGAAAACGGAAAAAAUCUGCAGUUACUAAAUAUCAAUCUGGAUGGCUUAGUAAAAAGGAAUCAAUUUCCAUAAAACGCCCCUAUUGCAAAUCAAAUCAAAUAGAGAAAAGUGCUUAUCGGGGCCGUCCUAAACUUGAUUUUGAGGAGGCUUUAGAGAGAACAAAGCGACGAC